GGCGGAAGGGUGAGUAACACGUGGUUAACUGCCAGUAAGACUGGGAUAACUCCGGGAAACCGGAGCUAAUACGGAUAGUUCCCUGAACCGCAUGGUUCAAGGAUGAAAGACGGUUUCGGCUGUCACUUACAGAUGGACCGCGGCGCUAGCUAGUUGGUGGGGUAAUGGCUCACCAAGGCGACGAUGCGUAGCCGACCUGAGAGGGUGAUCGGCCACACUGGGAUUGAGACACGGCCCAGACUCUUACGGGAGGCAGCAGUAGGGAAUCUUCCGCAAUGGACGAAAGUCUGACGGAGCAACGCCGCUUGAGUGAUGAAGGUUUUCGGAUCGUAAAGCUCUGUUGUUAGGGAAGAACAAGUGCGAGAGUAACUGCUCGCACCUUGACGGUACCUAACCAGAAAGCCACGGCUAAUUACGUGCCAGCAGCCGCGGUAAUACGUAGGUGGCAAGCGUUGUCGGGAAUUAUUGGGCGUAAAGGGCUCGCGGGCGGUUUCUUAAGUCUGAUGUGAAAGCCCCCGGCUCAACCGGGGAGGGUCAUUGGAAACUGGGAAACUUGAGUGCAGAAGAGGAGAGUGGAAUUCCACGUGUAGCGGUGAAAUGCGUAGAGAUGUGGAGGAACACCAGUGGCGAAGGCGACUCUCUGGUCUGUAACUGACGCUGAGGAGCGAAAGCGUGGGGAGCGAACAGGAUUAGAUACCCUGGUAGUCCACGCCGUAAACGAUGAGUGCUAAGUGUUAGGGGGUUUCCGCCCCUUAGUGCUGCAGCUAACGCAUUAAGCACUCCGCCUGGGGAGUACGGUCGCAAGACUGAAACUCAAAGGAAUUGACGGGGGCCCGCACNAGCGGUGGAGCAUGUGGUUUAAUUCGAAGCAACGCGAAGAACCUUACCAGGUCUUGACAUCCUCUGACAACCCUAGAGAUAGGGCUUUCCCUUCGGGGACAGAGUGACA
rnacentral:rRNA from 1 species